rnacentral:lncRNA from 1 species
UCGAGAAACAGUAGACAACCACAAAAUGUUUCUGUCCCAGGGAAAGAUUUUUCAAUUCUUUUCUUUUUUUGUCAUCUAAACUUUGUUUUAAGCUAAACAUAUUCAGAUUUCAUCACUUUACUUUGCCUCUAAGACUCUGGAAAAGUUGAGACCUCACACACAGAUAUUCAUCUUAGAAGUUCACAAAC